GACAUCAAACUUGACGUUCGUAUACUUGCGCAGUCACCAGUGUCCUCGCGAGCUCUGCGCUGUCGCCUAGUGUUUUUCCAAAUGGAUAUAACCCUGUGCACGAUACAGUGAGCCGAGUGUCGGCUGAAGUACAAUUUAAUGCGUGGAUUAUAACCUACCAAGCAACGCGACCAGCGAUGAUAUGGAAUCGGCAGUGUAUGAAUAAAAAGGCGGGAAGCCUGUACCAAAGUCGGUGCGAUGUUGUGAUGAACGCGAAUUCGGGGUGAACGACACCUGACUCACCAAGCUGAAGUUACACCGCACUGUGGACAUAACUAGAAAAUAUAGCCACUGUUGGCUACACGAACAUUGGACUCGAGUAUUAACUAAAUGAUCACCUUUCGUAUUAUCCCAAUACACUUCAUUGGUUAUUAUCAAUUCUAGUUGUAGUACAAAAAAUAUUUCAAAUAUUUAACAAGGUUCAUUAAACGUACAGUUGAAACCUCAGAUCACACACAAACUCUCAACCUUCCCAAAUUGUUGCUUGCUAGCCUACGAACAGUUUGCUCUAUAACUCUCUAUAACUUCACGAAAAAUAAUCACCAGUAAUAAAGUAAGGGAAAGUACGUGUUUUUCUUAUUGUGAUCCAGUUUUCAAAAAUGAUUGUUUUUUUUUUCCAUAUUUCAUAAACACGUCAUAAACUUACAAAUCGAAGACACAUUUGUAAAUAUACGACUUCGUACAGCCAAAAUACCUAAUUCUGUCCUGUUUCCCUUUGCAGUAUUAAAUUAAGAUUCUCCGACCAAUAUUACUCACAUAAGUUAGUUAGAAAUGUAUAAUUUAGAGUUAUAACUGGUUUUCUUGUGAGUCACUUUGCUAACAAGUUAAAACAGGCUGGAGGCCAGACAAAUAUGAAUAGACUAAAUGGUAUUUGUAUGAAUGUGAUAGAUAAGCAUUUUUAUUACAAUUUGAAUUUAAAAAUUAUGAUUAAAAUAGCGAUAUAGAGUCGGGAUCAACUGAUAUUCAUUAAUUUUUAACUAGAUUUUGGAUAAUGUA